AUGUGGCUGCUCAGCAGAUUUCCCGGGAAGUGGAUUCUUGAGAGGAGGGUGAGGUUGGCAAUGCAAGGUGGCAUCUGGCCAUCGAGGCCGGAGUUCUCGAGGUUCAGCGCAAUGACACGAGAUGCGUUGCAAGCAACGCCGGGCCAGCUGCAGAAAUGGAGGGAGUUGUUCUGCACCCAUGAGCCAAGGAGGGAGUUGGGGCUGCCGGAGAGGUGGAGCUUCAAGCAAAGGAGGGUUUCGAAGUCGGUGGCGUUGGAUGAAGAAGAAGCAGCGACAGCGAAGCUGAGAAGAGAGGUUACAACAACAAUGGCUAGGAGCCUUCUUGGUCUGUCACACAUGUUGUGCUUCUUCAGUAAGCUGUGUGUUUUUUGUACUACUGAUAUGCUGCACUUAUACAAAAAAGGAGAACGGGUGAGCUGCAAGCGCCUUCCUUGCACAUACUCUGGCAAAGUAAUAAUUUAA
rnacentral:rRNA from 1 species